UUAAUUAACAGAUUAAAACGGGUAUGAUUUGCGUGUCUGUGAAAGAGAAGAAGAAUGGCGGUGGCACGCGCGGUGGCAGUGUUAGCAGUAGCAAAACCCUCAACGGUGUUAGCCGGCGGCGUACAAACUAAUCGCCUUCACAAAUUCAAACCUCUAUGCUUUUCAACAACCACAACUUCACCUUCUUCUCGAAAACUCAUCCUUUACUCUAAACCCGGUUGCUGUUUAUGCGAUGGUCUCAAAGAGAAGCUUCAAGAUGCAUUCUCGCUUUCUGGUCCACAUUCCCUUAACGACGUUGAUUUACAGAUAAGAGAUAUAACGAGCAAUCCAGAAUGGGAAAAAGCUUAUCAAUAUGAGAUACCUGUGUUAGCUAAAGUUCUCUCUGAUGGCACCGAGGAAACUUUACCACGAUUGUCUCCUCGUUUAGGAGUGGAGCUCCUCCAGAAGAAGAUAGCUGCUGCCCUCGGAGAGCAAUAAAGGUUUUUCAGCUCAUGACUCGUGAGGCAUAAGAAUUUCCCUUCAGUUUCCAUGUUUGACAUGGUUACAAGUGAUAUCAGAGCAAGACAGGGAGAGAUAUGUUGUGGUUCAGGGACAAAUUAAGCAGAAGUUGCUGGGUAUAAAUGGGCUGGGGGAUGAAGAGAGGGAAAAGUGUACGCUAGUGCAAAAAGAUGAUGCUCAUACGCAGAGUGAUUCUUGCAUGUUUUUAGGCAAAUGGAGACAUGAAGGAUCCAUAUUUAUAUAGAACUGGGAGGGAUCUUGAGAAUGCAGGCAGCAAAGGCAACCACAUCACAAAAUGCUUUCAAUCUUGCAUCAUUGAAUUCAACAUAUUUCACACUUUCACGAGUAUUAAAAUGAUACACCUAAUUUUAUUAAGGUCACCUUGUAGAAAAAAAAAUUAAUUUGUUAGUGAAAGGUGACUUUGGUAAAUUUAAAGACAUUAUUUCAAUAUCAGUGAAAGUAUGAAAUAUUUAUACUUCAAGGAUACUAAUACAAGAAAGGAAACUUGUUAUUGACUCUCCAACAAGAUGGAAUUCAACAUUUGUUAUGUUAUCAACUAUUUUGAAAUUUAAGGUUGCCUCAGCUGCAUACAAAGAAAGAGGGUCGGGCCUUGUUAUGAUUGUACACCGUCACUUGAAGAAUAGAACAAAGUUGAGAAAGUUUGUAAAUUGCUGGAAGUGUUUUAUCUAGCUAUUCAUAUGAUCUCAUGUAGUGUAUCAACUAUUUUUUUAUUUGAUAACUUUAGUGAUUAAUAUAACUACUCAUUUAAACUUAGGUAGUGAGUAUUCGAUGCCUAAUUUGUAUUUACCAAUUAGGCAGAAGUUUGGAGGGUGAAACAAAUACUUAUAAUGCGGUUGAAAACAAAUAUCUCUUCAUGAGAGAAAUGGUGUCCAAUUUGUUUUGGGUCUUGGAUGAAAAUUUCAUAUACUGAA